UCUAGUGUAGUCAAAUUGAUGACGUGAGAUUUAAACUCUUGAGGUGUAUUUUAUCUCUAGAA
rnacentral:tRNA from 1 species